GAUGAACGCUGGCGGCGUGCCUAAUACAUGCAAGUCGAGCGAACGGACGAGAAGCUUGCUUCUCUGAUGUUAGCGGCGGACGGGUGAGUAACACGUGGAUAACCUACCUAUAAGACUGGGAUAACUUCGGGAAACCGGAGCUAAUACCGGAUAAUAUUUUGAACCGCAUGGUUCAAAAGUGAAAGACGGUCUUGCUGUCACUUAUAGAUGGAUCCGCGCUGCAUUAGCUAGUUGGUAAGGUAACGGCUUACCAAGGCAACGAUGCGUAGCCGACCUGAGAGUGUGAUCGGCCACACUGGAACUGAGACACGGUCCAGACUCCUACGGGAGGCAGCAGUAGGGAAUCUUCCGCAAUGGGCGAAAGCCUGACGGAGCAACGCCGCGUGAGUGAUGAAGGUCUUCGGAUCGUAAAACUCUGUUAUUAGGGAAGAACAUAUGUGUAAGUAACUGUGCACAUCUUGACGGUACCUAAUCAGAAAGCCACGGCUAACUACGUG
rnacentral:rRNA from 1 species